rnacentral:rRNA from 1 species
GACGAACGCUGGCGGCGUGCUUAACACAUGCAAGUCGAACGAAGUGGCGAACGGGUGAGUAAUACGUGGGUAACCUGCCCUCCUUUUUGGGAUAAGCCUUGGAAACGGGGUCUAAUACCGAAUAAAGGGGCAUGGGCUCGCGGCCUAUCAGCUUGUUGGUGGGGUGAUGGCCUACCAAGGCGGUGACGGGUAGCCGGCCUGAGAGGGUGACCGGCAACAGUGGGACGGAGAUACGGCCCAGACUCCGACGGGGUGCAGCAGUGGGGGAUAUUGCACAAUGGGUGAAAGCCUGAUGCAGCGUGGCCGCGGGGGGGAUGAAGGCUUUCGAGUAGUAAACCUGGUUCGCUAUCGAGUGGGUAGGUGGAGAAGAAGCGCCGGCUAACUACGUGCCAGCAGCCGCGGUAAUUC